UCUGCUCUGGGGCCAGUGACCAGUUUACAUAGCAUCUUCCUUCACCUCCUGGUUUUAGAAUUUUGUGUUUUGGGGAGUAAUUCUUUAGUUGCUUGUAAGGGGAAAGAGAGAGGAGAGGAGUUCAGCAUCCUCCUGAAGGACCCUCCAGGGGACAUGGUUUCCCAUAUCUGGCUCCUGGCUUCUCUGGCUUCUUAUUCUAUGUUCUCUGAAGAUGCAGCCAGGGUUCCUGCUGAGCAAGCUGGAUGCCAAUGGUUGGAGGGAAACUGAGUCAGGAGCGGAGACAGUAAUGAACUUCUCUAAGCUGAAUGGAAAGGUUGUCCUGAUGCUACCUCACUGGCACAAGAUCUGUUCCUUAGCUCCUGGUCCCAUCGACGUCACGGGCAAUUUCAAGGUCCAUGAUGGGACUCACAUCUAAUACUUUCAACCCUACAGUUUCUUGACCUUUUCAACACCAAUGACUAUGGGUCAUCCUGGACCAAACAUUGGAGAUUGGAUCAAAUGGAGAUUUCCAAGGCUGCUAGCAUCAACAUUUAACCAUCUGCUCACAUGUCCAAGAAGAAAAGGAGAUGAGUUACUGUACUUUGUGUUCAACCUGUCAAUGCCUUCCAGGGCUUUGAAGACCACCAGGAGCAUACUUGUUAUUGAACAGGUGGGAUUUAUUACUCCUUGCAGCUAAGGAACGUGCACACCAUGGGGAACUGUGCAGUGUCUCAGUAAGAGACACUUAACUUACUCAGUAAGAGACUUACUCGGGUGUUAGAAAGAAUCAAUUAUAGGAUUUGGGCUUUGACUGGGUGAUAUUGGGGAGGGUCCUAGGAAGUGGAGCUUUGCUCUAAAUUGGGUAUUCUCAGGAAUCAGGGAUAAUUCUAUGAUUCUUUGCAGAAGAGUGUCUUUGAUAAUUUCCUUGCUAUGUAGUAGAUCAAGUCAUUCUUUUUCUUUUUCUAUUAUGAACAGUGCUGCCCCUAACCUUCAUUUUCUAUGUCUCCUAGUGUAACUAUUAAGUGUUUAAGAGUCUCUCUAGGGAAUACAUAAACCUAGUAGUAGGAUUUCUGGGUGUUGGGGCAUACAAAUAUUCAACUUUAGAUGGUAACGAUUGUUUUUCAAAUCAGUUGGUUGUACCAAUGGCCUUGAGCCACAUCCCCAGAACAGUUGGUAAACCUUUUAAUUUUUGACAAUCUAGCAUGUAAAAUAAUAUUUUAUUAUUGUCUUAAUUUGCAUUUGCCUGAUUAAAUAAUAAAGCUGAACACUUUUUCAA